ACGGGUGAGUAACACGUGAGCAACCUGCCCUGGACUCUGGGAUAAGCGCUGGAAACGGUGUCUAAUACUGGAUAUGAGACGUGAUCGCAUGGUCGUGUUUGGAAAGAUUUUUCGGUCUGGGAUGGGCUCGCGGCCUAUCAGCUUGUUGGUGAGGUAAUGGCUCACCAAGGCGUCGACGGGUAGCCGGCCUGAGAGGGUGACCGGCCACACUGGGACUGAGACACGGCCCAGACUCCUACGGGAGGCAGCAGUGGGGAAUAUUGCACAAUGGGCGAAAGCCUGAUGCAGCAACGCCGCGUGAGGGAUGACGGCCUUCGGGUUGUAAACCUCUUUUAGUAGGGAAGAAGCGAAAGUGACGGUACCUGCAGAAAAAGCGCCGGCUAACUACGUGCCAGCAGCCGCGGUAAUACGUAGGGCGCAAGCGUUAUCCGGAAUUAUUGGGCGUAAAGAGCUCGUAGGCGGUUUGUCGCGUCUGCUGUGAAAUCCCGAGGCUCAACCUCGGGCCUGCAGUGGGUACGGGCAGACUAGAGUGCGGUAGGGGAGAUUGGAAUUCCUGGUGUAGCGGUGGAAUGCGCAGA
rnacentral:rRNA from 5 species